rnacentral:rRNA from 1 species
GAUCAUGGCUCAGGAUGAACGCUAGCUACAGGCUUAACACAUGCAAGUCGAGGGGCAGCAGUUGGAGUAGCAGUACUCAGAUGGCGACCGGCGCACGGGUGAGUAACACGUAUCCAACCUGCCGCUUACUCGGGGAUAGCCUUUCGAAAGAAAGAUUAAUACCCGAUGGUAUAAAGAGUUCGCAUGUUCUCUUUAUUAAAGAAUUUCGGUAAGCGAUGGGGAUGCGUUCCAUUAGAUAGUUGGCGGGGUAACGGCCCACCAAGUCUACGAUGGAUAGGGGUUCUGAGAGGAAGGUCCCCCACAUUGGAACUGAGACACGGUCCAAACUCCUACGGGAGGCAGCAGUGAGGAAUAUUGGUCAAUGGACGAGAGUCUGAACCAGCCAAAGUAGCGUGAAGGAUGACUGCCCUAUGGGUUGUAAACUUCUUUUAUAAGGGAAUAAAGUGAGGGACGUGUCCCUUUUUGUAUGUACCUUAUGAAUAAGGAUCGGCUAACUCCGUGCCAGCCGCCGC